UACAUAUUUCAUUGGCCUUCAACGCUCUUAUAAGAAAGCAUCAUUCAAAAGUCUUGCUUGCUGGUUCAUUUAAUCUCUCUCUCUCUUUUUUUUUUUUUUUUUUAAAGGAACUUGGGAAAUGAUCCAUCUGCAUUCUUUAUUAGGAAGCAUUUUAUUCCAAAUGAAAAGAGACAAAUCAAAUUUUAUGCAGUGAAAUUUCCUUUGCCAAAGAAAUCAUAUCCUGAUUUGCCAUAUUGCCUCAGAGGAGAUAGAAAUUGUCCUAUUUAUGUUCAACUGUGGUGAGAGAAUACAGACAAACAACAUCAGAAACUGAAGCCAUAUGGUCACACAGCAGGAAGACAUAGGACAAUCUGUGCAAAUUGUUUCACAUUGUACAGAGUCUUACCACAGAUCUGAGGCUCUCAUUAUUAGAAAGCACUGUUGAAGACUGCCAGUACUAGGGAAUGGAAUCAUUUAC
rnacentral:lncRNA from 1 species